UGCCGGGUCGUCUAAUGGUAGGACACCGCCCUUUGGAGGCGGGUAUGAAGGUUCGAAUCCUUCCCCGGCAA
rnacentral:tRNA from 2 species